rnacentral:rRNA from 1 species
GAUGAACGCUGGCUACAGGCUUAACACAUGCAAGUCGAGGGGAAACGACGGGGAAGCUUGCUUCCCCGGGCGUCGACCGGCGCACGGGUGAGUAACGCGUAUCCAACCUGCCUCUGACUGAGGGAUAACCCGUCGAAAGUCGGCCUAAUACCUCAUGGCAUCGUCUGCGGGCAUCCAACGACGAUUAAAGAUUUCAUCGGUCAGAGAUGGGGAUGCGUCUGAUUAGCUUGGUGGCGGGGUAACGGCCCACCAAGGCGACGAUCAGUAGGGGUUCUGAGAGGAAGCUCCCCCACAUUGGAACUGAGACACGGUCCAAACUCCUACGGGAGGCAGCAGUGAGGAAUAUUGGUCAAUGGGCGAGAGCCUGAACCAGCCAAGUAGCGUGCAGGAUGACGGCCCUAUGGGUUGUAAACUGCUUUUAUGCGGGGAUAAAGUGAGGGACGUGUCCUUCAUUGCAGGUACCGCAUGAAUAAGGACCGGCUAAUUCCGUG